CAGAGAACACGAGGUGAGGAACCCAGGCUUUUAUUGUCAUUCUGAAAGAGCCCUGCCCUCUAAGGGGAUAUCUGGAUCUUCAUGGCUGGAGAAGAUAUCAGAGAUCAUGCAGCUUUACUUUGACCAGUCGGACCUUGGGAAAGAAAAAUUGUUUGGCAUUGCAUAUUUCUGUCCUUGUGAGUCCUGAUCCUUCAGAAACUCAUAAUGUUUUGCAGAGAGAAGAGCUCUUACCUGCAAAGUAUGGGUUUUAUUAGAACAGUAAAAGGCAUGAGUAAUACUUUGAAGAAGCUUAAAGUACCUACAAAAACUCAAGGACAAGGACUUGUUAGUGACUGGAAGGAAUGGCAGGUUGAAACCCUGAUUGUCGUGUACAUAAUGAAGGAUUUCCUCAUAAUGGCUUGUCUCUGCAACUUCUCCGAGGGAGGUAAUCUAUAUUUUGACUUUACGUCCAGAUUUCUACAUCACAGAAAAUGAGGUCGUGAAUCGUUCAGUGCCAUCAAUUUAAUGUUUAUUCUGCUUCUCUGGGAGACUUUCACUUUCCUAU
rnacentral:lncRNA from 1 species